UGGCUCAGUGGUAGAGCACUUGCCUUGCACGCAUGAGGCCCUGGGUUUGAUUCCUCAG
rnacentral:tRNA from 1 species